UACAGAGGUCCCAAGCGUUGUUCGGAUUCACUGGGCGUAAAGGGUGCGUAGGUGGUGGGGUAAGUCGGAUGUGAAAUCUCCAGGCUCAACCUGGAAAUGGCAUUGGAAACUACCUUGCUAGAGGGUUUGAGGGGGGACUGGAAUACUUGGUGUAGCAGUGAAAUGCGUAGAUAUCAAGUGGAACACCAGUGGCGAAGGCGACACUCUGGGCCGGUACUGACGCUGAGGAGCGAAAGCGUGGGGAGCAAACAGG
rnacentral:rRNA from 1 species